GGUUUUUAGAAUUCAUUAAAAAUCAAACCUGCUCAAUGCUUAGUAAAUAGCUGCGGUAUCUUGACCGUACAAAGGUAGCAUAAUCAUUAGUCUUAUAAUUGAAGACUGGAAUGAAUGGUUUAACUUAGUAAUUCUGUCUCAUAACAAUAUUUUGAAUUUUAUAUUUUAGUAAAAAGCUAAAUUUUUAUUUAGAGACGAGAAGACCCUAUUGAGCUUUACAAAAAAUUUUAUUUCUCAUAAAGUAAAUUAACUUUGUUCUACUGGGGCAGUAAGAAAAUAAAAUUUUUCUUUAAUAUUAUGAAUUUUAACUCUCGUGAAAUCAAAAACUUUUUAAAUAAAAAUAAGUUACCAUAGGGAUAACAGCGUAAUUUUCCUUUAGAGAACAUAUCAACAGAAAAGUUUACGACCUCGAUGUUGGAUUAAAAAUCCUACUCUACGCAAUAGUAGAAUGAAGGAAGUCUGUUCGACUUUUAAAUUUUUCCA
rnacentral:rRNA from 1 species